ensembl:snRNA Gm23248 predicted gene, 23248
GUGCUCGCUUCGGCAGCACAUAUACUAAAAAUUGGAAUGAUACAGAGAAGAUUAGCAUGGCCCCUGCACAAGGAUGACACACAAAUUCGUGAAAAAAAAAAGAGAUU